GGUCAGCUGACACAUCCCUGCCAAUCUCCGGCAGACCCUCCCUCCCAGACCAUCCUACUUCUUGGAUAGCAUCCAUGUUGAAGGCAGCUUCAACAUGGAUGCUGUCCAGGAGGUGGGAGGGUAUGGGAGGGAGGGUCUGCUGGAGAUUGGCAGGGAUGUGUCAGCUG